AUUAACAAUUUUUUUUUGUUCCUUUCCCUUUUCACAAAAUUGGUUAGUUGUUUUAAAGGGAAUGGAAAACUCAGUAGUGGGAACAAAAAGAACACUUUAAUGAUCAAAACAAAAAACCUUAGUUGGCUUGCCUUGGGUGCCACCUAGCUCCCUUAGUCUCAAUCAAUAUAUUUUGUUUUCUAAUUUGAGAUAGGUUUUAUUAUUCCAAGGCCACACUUUCCGCGUUGGAAGGAUAUAGGAAAUCAGAUUCUAGUAUAAUUUAAUUAUUAGAGUUCAUAGGGAUUAAAAAUGUUAUCUAAGCUUUGUAUUAAAAAAACAUUAACAUUUUUAAUUACGUAGCAGCUAAUACCAUUUUGAGUAGUUUAGUUUCUUGUUUGCCUAGAAUGAUGUGCCACGUGUGCGUCGAGGUCGAGUGGUAUGAAAUUAUAAUUCUAAAAUAUUUGCGAGUAGUUUUAUAUAAAUAUGAAACAUAGUAGUUUUAUAUGAUGUGAUGAUACAUAUAAUUUUGUGUGAAUUAGUGGACAAGAAUGAAUGUAGAUUAUAUUAAAGAGGAUGGUGAUAUUUGGACAAAAUGUUUGGUGAUGUGGAAGAAUCCUUUCAAGCCGAUUGGGAUUAUUGGGCCUAAAGAUCUAAUUAGAUUUCUUUUAAGAGAAAAUUACUUGUAUAUCUAUUUUAUUUUAUUCAUUUUUAUUUUUACUAGAGGCAACCUACGUGCAAUGCACGUUUUGUUUUAUUGUUCUUUUCUGAUUUUUAUUUAGGCUAAUUGGGUAUAAAAUCACGAUUUUUUUUUUUUAAAAAAAAACUAUUAAAUUAAAUUAGAAAGUGUCGAAUAAUAAUUUGAAAACAUCCUGUAAUACCCGGAAUUAAGAAAUGGAUUAGCAAAACCUUAACUAGAUAAUUAUGUAUAAUGGAGGAAUUAUAUUAUUAUAUAGUUCAAUAUAUGUGAUUUUAUAUGAAUUUUAAUAUAUUAAAGACCCCGUUGGUGAACCAGGGGCAUUUUGGUAAUUAUGACCCGAGAAGGGUAAAAUGAUGAAAUUAAUUCAAUUACGUGCUUAAUAGAACUAUAUUAUUAUAUAGUAUGCAUGUGUUGUCUUUUUAGGUGUGUUCUGACAGGUUAGCGCGGUAUAGUCACAACCGGAAAUUUCGGGCCGAAUUGGGUUCGGGCCCGAAAUGUAAAUUGGAUUGAUUAUUUGGCAUUUUAUUUGAUAAAUGAUAAUCUGAAAUUUAUUUGAAAUUAAUUGAGUAUUGAAUGACUAUUUUACCCUUGUGAGGGUGUAUGUGGGUAUUUAAGCCCUAAGGGCAUUUUGGUCAUUUCACCCCUAAUUAUUAUGUUUGAUUAAAAUUGAUUUUUGAUGAAAUGAAAUGCAAUUUUCUGGUUUUGCUUUCCUCUUAGCCGACCCCCUCUCUCGCCCAAACCCUCUUGUUAUUUCAAGUUGAAUUUGAAGAAAAUUGGUGUGAAUUGGAGCUAAUUUUUAGAGCUUGAUUGUGGGGAUUAUUCUUGCUUAGUCUUGAGAUUGUGUGUGACUAGGAUUACCGGCACCUGGUCAGGAGCACCUGCGGAUUUAGAAUCUCUACUAUUGCGGGACAUCAGGAAAGGGUAAGUCAGUGGCUGAUCAACCAUGAGUUUCAGGAGUAGGGCGAAGAAUGUACAUGUUCAUGCCACUUCAGACCAAGCGGGUCAUGGGUCUAACAGUGUUGACUUUUGUUUUCUGUUUUGCCGCUUAGGUCGGCUAGUAAGAAAGAACUUGUAAUAAGUUUGUAAAUAUUUUUGGGAUCCCAACUAUUUUGAAAAGUUUAAAUAUAUUACAAGUUUAUUUUCA